ACGAUUAGACUGUUUUGAUGAGAAAUUUAAAGAUUACGUGUCCCAUCCGUUUGACUCACAGUUUGGUACCAUAGGUUGGUACGAUCUUCGUUGGAGAAGGAAAAGGGAUGUUCCAGAUACAGAAAACCGUCAAACCAUUUACUACAAAGUCCGUUUCUGGGUGGAGUUAGUGGAACCGAAAAAGAUGUCUCCCUCACAGCGUUUUUGACACAAGAAUUGUAUCGUUCCUUGGCGGCCUUUCAACAGAAGAAUAUUCAGAGAUUUCCCGACUGGACACAAUCAUCGCCUUGGAAGCUUCAUCACGAUACUACUUUGCAUUUCUGAAGAGGGAAGAAGAAAUCAAUAUGCAAAUUCAAUUCCAUGGUUUUGGAAGUCCCUUUGAGAACACGAUUCAUUUGCGCCGGCAUAAUGCUCUGACCGAGAAAGAAUUGAAGGAAAAAAGCAAUGAAAGUGCCGUUCAUGUUUUGCACGGCGAGCUGCUGAAUACUAACCGGUCUCACACCAUUACCAUCACCUUGCCCUUGUGAAGGCAGAUAUGGAUAAGGUUCUCAAAGCUGAUAGAAGAUUGAAACCACUCUCGUCCUGUGACGAUGAACCUGCCCCGGAAGAGAGAGCCCAGAGAAUUGCCAAAGCUGUCCGCAAACAGUCAAUAGAAGUGAAGGAAAAUUGGGAACAACUGAAAAUCCGUGCGAGCAACUGGCAGAAACAGGUGGAAAAGGCGUUGGAGAAACUUCAAGAACUGCAGAAAGUUCUGGAUGAUCUUGAGGCUCAUGUGAUAACAGCUGAGGGGGUCCACACUGAUUGGCAACCUGUGAGUGACCUGCUUAUUGACUCAUUGCAGGAUCACAUUGAUAAAACCACAGUUAAAAGUCUACACCUUUUCAGUUCACUGCAGUGCUGCAUAAUGAAGACUUGGAACAGUUUUUUUAUAUAAAGUAGAAAAUCAAUGUGGUUUGUUUUCCAAAAUGUGAUGUCAGCUUUCCUGGAGCAAGUCUGUUUUCCCUCGGAUGAGACGACUUUCAGACAUACUCCCUUUAUUAUGAGAUAUAAUUGGGGUAAAAUGAGGAGGAUUUUUAUUCACUGAGACACACAUGACUAUAUGUUUGAAGCAUUGGAAAAUGCAUUCUGUUCGGACUGUCAUGUUAUCUGGUGUUUGUCCCAGGCUUUCCGAUUAAAUGCAAGUGAUGAAGGAUGCUAAUGAUGCCACAUGUUAUUACAAGAAGAAAUGAACAUCCAAGUAAGGAUUUUAUGCCACAUUUAUACAUAGCAUGGACGCAGCAUGGAUGCCGUGACGGAGUGAAAUGGGAUGCCGUGACGGAGUGAAAUGGGAUGCCGUGACGGAGUGAAAUGGGAUGCCGUGACGGAGUGAAAUGGGAUGCCGUGACGGAGUGAAAUGGGAUGCCGUGACCGAGGGAACUGGGAUGCCGUGACCGAGGGAACUGGGAUGCCGUGACCGAGGGAACUGGGAUACAGUGCCUCAGUGAGAUGCUCACAGCGAAUUGUCCCCUCCGUCCUGACCCGCUCACACUGACUAGCCCCUGCAGUCCUGACCCGCUCACAGCGACUUCUCUCUGCAGUCCUGAUCCGCUCACAGCGACACGCCCCUUCAGCCCUGUCCCAAUCACAGGGACUUGCCCUCUCUGUCCUUACCCACUCACAGCGACUUGCCCCCUCAGUCCUCACCCACUCACAGCGACUUGCCACCUCAGUCUUGACCCGCUCACAGCGACCUCCCCCCUCUGUCCUGACCCCCUCAGAGCGACCUACCCCUCCGUGCUGACCCGCUCACAGUGAGGUGCCCCUGCAGUCCUGACCCCCCUCACAGUGACCUGCCCCCUCACUCCUGACCUGCUCUGCAUUGAGGAAACCAAGCGGAGGCUUGGGGACCACUUUGCAGAACACCUCCGCUCGGUUCGCAACAAACAACUGCACCUCCCAGUCGCGAACCAUUUUAACUCCCCCUCCCAUUCCUUAGACGACAUGUCCAUCAUGGGUCUCCUGCAGUGCCACAAUAAUGCCACCCGAAGGUUGCAAGGACAGCAACUCCUCAUCCGCUUGGGAACCCUGCAACCCAAUGGUUUCAAUGUGGACUUCACAAGCUUCAAAAUCACCCCCUCCCCAACUGCAUCCCAAAACCAGCCCAGUUCUUCCCCUCCCGCAACUGCAUCACAAAACCAGCCCAGCCUGUCUCCGCCUCCCUGACCUGUUGUUCCUCUCACCCAUCCCUUCCUCCCACCUCAAGCCACACCUCCAUUUCCUACCUACCACCUCAUCCUGCCUCCUUGACUUGUCCGUCUUCCCUGGACUGACCUAUCCCCUCCCUACCUCCUCACCUGUACUCUCCUCUCUACCUAUCUUGUUUUCUCUCCAUCUUCGGUCCGCAUCCCCCCCUCUCCCUAUUUAUUCCACUUCCCUCUCCCAUCCCCCUCUCUGAUGAAGGGUCUAGGCCUGAAAUGUCAGCUUUUGUGCUCCUGAGAUGCUGCUUGGCCUGCUGUGUUCAUCCAGCUCCACACUUUGUUAUUUUGGAUUCUCCAGCAUUUGCCAUUAUCAGUGGCCUUUCCUCUUUGUCAAAGUUUGUGCAAAAGCAACACGAUGUGGGGCGGCACGGUGGCUCAGUGGUAAGCACUGCAGCUUCACAGCACUGGGGACUCGGGUUCAAUUCCAGCCUCAGGCAACUGUUUGUGUGGAAUUUGCACCUUGUCCCUGUGUCUGCGUGGGUUUCCUCCAGGUGCUCCGGUCUCCUCCCACAGUCCAAAGAGGUGCACGCUAGGUGGAUUGGCCAUGCUAAAUUGCCCAUAGUGUUCAGGGGCGUGGGUCUGGGUGGGAUGCUCCAAGGUUUGGUGUGCACUUGUUGGGCCAAAGGGCCUGUUUCCACACUGUAGGGAAUCUAAACAAUCCUGUUCCCACAUCUCCAUGUUAUAACCCUGCUGAUCACUGCACACACAGAUGUUUGAUAACAAAAGGAUAACAAUAAUAUUCAAACCCAGUGCUGGAGAUGUAUUUUAAAUACACUGAGGCCAGUGUCGAUCUCCAAUUCAACUUUUAUUUACAAAUGAACUGUCUUCAACUUUAGCACUGCCUCAUUCAGAGAUAGUUGCCAGGGUGUCAGCAUCUCUGACCCUCACACGACUUAUCUGUCAGCCAGGGCUCCCUGAUUUGGGCUGUUAAUAUGGACCAGUCAGGCAACUCAUAUUCUGUGAGGUUCGACUGGCCGACCUGGUCACAAACAAGUGCGGUGUGUUCAUCGAAAAUCAAACGUACUAGAAAGGUACCAUUACAUACCAGUGCAAAGGAAGGCAUGAGGCUAAACUGGGGAGGGAAGGGAACUGCUUAUUGGGGGUGGCCCAGAGAGUGGAAGAAAAUCGAAUGGGAAGACGACCAUUUGAGACUGAGGGAGAGAGAUGUAAUUGCCUGAAUGAGGCAUUCCAAUUGCGAAAUGGAUUUUUGUUGUACACCAUGUUCAGUUUCCCCGAUCUUAAUCUGUACUCCUCUUUAAAUCAUUAGUAUCUGAAAUUUCUGUAUCAUUUCCAAAUGUUCUGUCUCUAAUGUUGUGCUGUUGGAAUUGGUUGAACUGCAGAGAUAUUAUUUAUUUGCACAAAUGUGUUCAGUGAAAUGAGUUGCAUGCUAUAUAUGUAUUAUUCUUCCUGAUUCUAUUGUACACAAACAAAUUAAAGUUAG